rnacentral:rRNA from 1 species
UACGUAGGGCGCAAGCGUUUGUCCGGAAUUAUUGGGCGUAAAGAGCUCGUAGGCGGUUCGGCAAGUCGGAUGUGAAAUCUCCACGCUUAACGUGGAGGGGCCAUUCGAAACUGCUAUGACUCGAGUCCGGUAGGGGAGUGUGGAAUUCCCGGUGUAGCGGUGAAAUGCGCAGAUAUCGGGAGGAACACCAGUAGCGAAGGCGGCACUCUGGGCCGGUACUGACGCUGAGGAGCGAAAGCGUGGGGAGCGAACAGG